AAAAAGGUGCCAUCAGUGGCUUGCAGCCAUCAAGAGGGCAGACUGGACACCAACUGCAAACACUCGUCUAUGGUUUGAGAGUCCCAUAUAAUUUAGCAACCAGGUGCACGUGAGCGAUGGUUGAGAGUGAGAUGUCCAUUAGGAAACCAUCAUUCUCUUCAAUGGCUCCACAAAAUUUAUACAGUAACUCUUCUGUGGUGCGCGAGGAGAGGAUCUGCAAGUAAUGAUGGCAGGCCAAUUCUGACUGUGACGUCAUCUUUGUUUCAACUGUUCCUGCAAAGGCGACCUGUUACACAGUAUCUGGGUCUGUUUUUUUAACUGAACAAGGCAUCGAUUUCGUCCAUUUUUCGAUGGACUGGAAAGAAUUGGAAAUCUUUUUUUCUUCAACAUCUUCCUGAACUGAAGUGAAUUGUGUUUCAUAACAAGAACAGAAGUUGAAUGGAAUUUAAGUACCCCAUAUUAUAACUGUAUUAUUUUCAUUAAUUGUACAGCAUCAUUUUUGUGUAUUGCUUCUCUGUCUAACAGUAAAGUGCUGACUUUUUUAUUUAUUUAAUUUUUUUGUAUUUUAAAAGUAAAACUCCAUGGACGCUUCUCAAUAUCCCUCCUCGUCU